UUUUACUUAUUGAAGGGUUGAUUAUCAUUUACUAUCUUUAUUGGUAAUUUGUAUUUUUUUUCUGUGAGUUACCUGAUCAUGUUCUUUAUCCAUUUUCUAAUUUAGGGUAUUGAUCUUUUUAUGUAUUGAUUCACCAGGACUUUCCAUACAUAUAUUGUGGAUAUUAACCCUGUGUCUGACAGUGAUGCAAUUGUUUUUCUCAGUCUUUGGAGUUGGUAUAUAUGCUAAAGUAUUUCUAUGAAGAGAAACUUCACCUUACCUACAAUACCGUUUAGUACAGUUCAUAGAGGAAACAUUGAUGCAAGAAAUUGAAGAUUGCUAUACUGCUUUUGGUGUUUGAGCUAAAAGGCACAGGAAACCAAGAUAAACAGAAAACCUGUACCUGUACUUAAAUUUGUAAGUAUGAAAUAAAGGUAAGAUGAUGAAAUCUUUGGGCAGAGCUCUAAGCCUCUACAAAGAACGUAGAUUUACCAGUCUCCAAAAAGAGUGAAGGGGAGGGAUCUGUAUAAUAUUCAGAAAGCCUUGAAUGCCUUUUCCGAAGAGUCAAUCUGCAGGCCUGCACACAAGGGCACUGGAAAUGCUCCUCUGUGGAACAGGUGCUUCUCUGUAGCAAUUCCUCCUCUCUAUCCAUUUAUAUAGUUUCAUGGAUUUCUAGCCAGAUGCUAAGAGACAAAGGCCAGGAAGUUACCCAGGACACUGUCCUUGCUCUGCUGGAAGGAGAUCUGGGGGAUGCUUAUCUCCCCUGGGGCUGCUUCUCCACUUCAGUGCUGCACAUUCCAUGGGAUUCCGGACCUGGCCUCCCAGUCUCCACCUGGGCUGCUGCUUUAGCCAGCUUCAGUUUCUGGUUGGUUUGGCUCACAGGCCAGAAAAUCCUUUUUAAGCUGUGAGCUUCUUGGCCUGCAGAGGCUGCAUGUCCUGUGACUGAUCACAGUGGCCGUGACUCCGGCACCUUUCACUGUGUGUCCUAAACACCUCCAUCUUGCUGUUGUAGGCUCAGUCCUCUGAAGGUUAUUCUGUUUCCCGGCAUUCAUGCUGCCAGUCUGAUCGUACUGCCUUUGUGAGCAAGCUGUGCGUUUUCUGUGUGCUUUUUAAGUUCUUUGUAUUUUGAAACUUGAUUGUGAUACAUCAAGGCCUGGGUUUCUAUAAAAUUCAUCCUGUUUUGCCCUUGAUGAGAAUUUUCAGCCUGAAUACUCCUAUUGUUUCUCAAUAGUCAUGACUUCUCCAAAUAGUUCCUUUCUCGCGUUCUUUUUUUUUCCUUCUUUUUCUGGCACUCCUCAAUAUGUCCUCCUCAUUGCUCAUCACCCUUUUGUAAUUAAUUUUUAUCUCUUUUUUCCCUUGUGCUGCAGUUUUUAUGGUUUCUUCUUUCUUGAUUUUUAUAAAUUCUCUCUUUGUAAGGAUUUAGUAUACUUUUUAAUUCUAUUUAUUAAUUUAAAAACAUAUUUGACUGCCUUUUUGCUAAUGGGCUUCUCUGUGUGUGUCUGUUUUAACAUAUCUGCCUGUUUCUUUUGAAUACCCUCUUGUCUUGUUUCAUGGCUAAUAUUCCUGCCUUAAUUCUUUAAUGGACUUUCUUGUUUAUUGUGUCUGUUGGCAAUUUCGUCAUGUACUUUGUACACUUUGUUUUAGAGCUCUUAAGAGUGCUCUUAUAGUCAAACAGUUUCAUGCUUGCCUUAACUUGGCUUUCUGUGUUCUACUGCUGUCCAGUUAACAUGUAUAGGGUUUUCCCUUUACCCUGGUACCGUGAGUCUAGAUAUCACACACAGCAGAGGCCUGGCUCCUGAUUUGUGCCUGUCCUCUGCUUGCCCCAGGGACCGUGAGCAAACAGCCUGCUUCUGGCUGCCACCCAUUUACAGUUAGAGUGUGUGCUAGACUGGAAGAAAGUAGACGGGAGCCGUAGAUAUCACUGGACUAGUUGGCAGAUACGAAAUCUCUUUAUACACUUGAAUAAUUCAUUUUAUGAUAUUGGACAGUUCCCAAAAAUCUCCUCAGCUGAAUUAUAUUAACAAUAUCAGUAUAUAUGUAUAUGUUUUAAUACUAACAAUAUUAUAAAUAUAUAUUGAAUAUAUGAAACAAUAUUAUAGUAUAAUAAAAUAUUACAUAUAAUAGGAUAAUCAGCAUGUAUGUAUAUAUAUAAAUAUAUCAUUAGUAUAAUAUAAUUGCUCAGCUUAGGGACCUGAAGAGAUAAUUUUGAGAAUGGUCCAAGAUCAUAAAAUGCAUUAUUUAAGUUCAUGAAGAGACCUCAUAUCUACCAACUAUUUCAGUGAUAUCUACUGCUCCCAUAUUACUUUCUUGAAAUCCAGUAUUUGCAAUUUUAAGUGAAUAUGACCUUGACCAAUGUUAAGUACCCCUGACUGGCAAUUCUGAUGGCAUUACUUAGCUUGCUGUGUUCAUAUCCAUUACAGCUAAUCAUAAGUAAGAACACGAAGACAGGAGCAUGGAGUUAGGGGAUACAGUACUGAGGCUGGGGGCACAGUCUCUGGAGCCUGGGUUCAAGCCUGAUUCUGCCACUUAAUCUGUGUGACCUUAGGUGCCUGCAUAACUCCCCUGUGGCUCAGUUUCUUCUCUUGUAAGACGGAUGAUAAUGAUAGUACCCAUCCUAUAGAACUGUCAUGUGGAUGACAUGAGUUAAAACGUGUAAAAUGCUCACAACAGGGCUGACACACAGUAAACCCUGUAUGUCACAGAGCAUUAAACACAUUGCAGAUUUUUUAAAACAAAUUUGAUUUCCAAAUGGAAGGCACUGACAAACACAGAGAGAGAACUGGUACUAGGCAGCAGAUUGGGGUUUCUAGAACAUUACCUUUGUACACUCUUUUAAUGAACAGGGGCCCAUCUCCAGACAUAGACGAUUUCCCUCCAUCCAGACUCAGUCCCAGCCCAGCCGAGGUCUUCAGCACUUCAACACACAGAGCCUCAUGUGCACCCGUGCUUCUCCCUGCAGCGACAGUGUUCGUAAGGAUGAUGAUGACAGGGAACCGCAGCCCCUCCUGCCCGGUGCCCCCAAGUGUGUUCCCCAGGCACCCUCGAGUCCCGUCUACCUUGAAGUGCUGAUAACGACAUCUGAGACCAACUUUAGGGUUGCUCUCCCAAAUCUAGAGCUGUGUUCCUGCUGUCCCUUGCCCCCCUAAGCACUUUCUGCAAGCACAGAGAAGGCAUUUAUGCCCAAGCAGAAAUCCCCAGAAGCCAAACUGCUCUUGUCAACCCCAGAUAGUCGGUGCACAUCUCAGUGAAGACUGAAGUCGCGCUUGGGGAAUCAGAUUUGAUUUCCUGCCAACCUUGGCAGCCGACGGCAGCAGAGCAUCACAGCCUGGUACUGACAGCCUGCAACACCCAAAUGCCAGGCCUCACACGAGACAUGGAGCGUCCUUCCUUCCCCUUCUGCUCCUGUGAGGGGUACCCCUGCCUCUGGCUGGCCGGCUGCAUCACACACUAGCUGCCUUCAUUGCCAUCUCCUGGCUCCACUGUGGGGAGAGCGUUUCCUUGGUGACGCCUACUUCAUAGCAACCAGCCUGUGCCUACUCUGUGUGCUAGUGUGGAGAGGCUGGGCUGGGGUCUAUCUUGGGCGUCUGAGUAGGGAUUGUAAACUUGCCUUUUGUUUCCCUUACUUGCUUGCUGUACCAGUGAAGGAUGUCUGAGUCGAGUGGAAAGGGCACUUAAUUGCUUGGGAGGCAGGGGAAGGACCACAGACAGAUUAAACUGUCCACUUGGGGUUGAGGCCAAGCCAGAAUCACUGCCUUUGAAUGGGGAACCUUAAGAAGACGUGGAUGCUGGUCCCCCCAUCCCACCACCCACACCCCUCAGAGUUUGACUUCACUGAGCUGGGGGAUUUCCUGGGGAUCAGGAUUUUUAAAAGCUUCCCAGGUGCCUCUAACAUCAAGCCUACUGCACCAAGCCCCAAGUGGGCUGCCUUCAGUGCAUGUUAAGGCAUAAUUGCGUAGGAUCUGCUAGAGCCCCGGGCAGGGGGAUCGUAAGGAAUAGAAAUAUGAAGAAAUAAGUUGAAGCCCCGAAUGUGCUUUUUGCAAUCUGAUAACUUUGUAGAGGUUGGUUCAAGGCCAGAUGCCCUGAAGGUGCCACAGGAACACUUAAUGAUUAUCAAUUUCGGGAUAGUCUUCCAUAUCUGAGUUCCUGAGUCUUAAAAACUCUGAAAGCUGUUAGGACUAAGUGCCCAGUGGUUUCCUUUGACAGGUUACGUUUCCAGGAUCCCACCGAAAAUACACCAAACAGGGAAUUCCCUGGCGUGGCUGUGGUUAAGACUCAGCGCUUUCACUGCCAGGGCCUGGGUUCAACCCCUGGUCGGGGAACUAAGAUCCCGCAAGCCGUGUGGCCCCCAAAAAAAAAAAAAAAGAAGAA